AUUGAACGCUGGCGGAAUGCUUUACACAUGCAAGUCGAGCGGCAGCGCGGGGCGACCUGGCGGCGAGCGGCGAACGGGUGAGUAACAUAUCGGAACGUACCCAGUCGUGGGGGAUAACUAUCCGAAAGGAUAGCUAAUACCGCAUACGACCUGAGGGUGAAAGCGGGGGACCGAAAGGCCUCGCGCGAUUGGAGCGGCCGAUAUCGGAUUAGCUAGUUGGUGAGGUAAAGGCUCACCAAGGCGACGAUCCGUAGCUGGUCUGAGAGGACGACCAGCCACACUGGAACUGAGACACGGUCCAGACUCCUACGGGAGGCAGCAGUGGGGAAUUUUGGACAAUGGGGGGCAACCCUGAUCCAGCCAUUCCGCGUGAGUGAAGAAGGCC
rnacentral:rRNA from 1 species